GUCAACUACCCCACCCUGAAGGGCGGAGCUUUGAAAGCAAGCUAGGUUGACCAGCCUAAGCCCUGUUAAAGGGGCUACGUGUACAACAGGUCGUUAAGACUCACCGGCGGAUGCUUCCUCAGUCUGCCGCUCUGAA
rnacentral:sRNA from 18 species